rnacentral:rRNA from 1 species
GGCUCAGGACGAACGCUGGCGGCGUGCUUAACACAUGCAAGUCGAACGCUGAAGCACCAGCUUGCUGGUGUGGAUGAGUGGCGAACGGGUGAGUAAUACGUGAGUAACCUGCCCUUGACUCUGGGAUAAGCCCGGGAAACUGGGUCUAAUACUGGAUGCUACAUGUCACCGCAUGGUGGUGUGUGGAAAGGGUUUACUGGUCUUGGAUGGGCUCACGGCCUAUCAGCUUGUUGGUGAGGUAAUGGCUCACCAAGGCGACGACGGGUAGCCGGCCUGAGAGGGUGACCGGCCACACUGGGACUGAGACACGGCCCAGACUCCUACGGGAGGCAGCAGUGGGGAAUAUUGCACAAUGGGCGAAAGCCUGAUGCAGCGACGCCGCGUGAGGGAUGACGGCCUUCGGGUUGUAAACCUCUUUCAGCAGGGAAGAAGCCACAAGU